GGUCUGUUGUUUUGAGAUGGAAGCCAUUUUGAGCUCCUUCAGAUACUGGCCUUCCCACCCCAGGACGCCGUGGCGGAGGGGAUGUCUCCAUGAUGCCGCUUCCUGUGUCGUUGGGAAUAGACUCCUUUCAUGUUGCAAGUUCUAGACCACUGCCUUGUGCCCUCGUUUGAUUUAAUAUUUACUGAGCUUUUGUUGAAGCAGUUUGCGUUUACAAUUGCAAAUGUAGCCUGACAUCCCUCUGGCGUAGACAUUAUAAUGUGUAAAAAGGCAACGUACUUUCCAUAUUGCAGCUUGGUAAAAGCUUGACAAAUAUUUGGUAGAUGUAUGUGGUGGAUGUGGGUCAGUGUGGGUCAGUGUGGGUCAGUGUGGGUCUGUGUGGGUCUGUGUGGGUCNNNNNNNNNNACUGGGACUAAGGGGACACAUAGUUUGACUGGUACUAAGGGGACACAGAGUUUAGACUGGGACUAAGGGGACACUGACUGGGACUAAGGGGACACUGAGUUUAGACUGGGACUAAGGGGACACUGAGUUUAGACUGGGAUUAAGGGGACACUGAGUUUAGACUGGGACUAAGGGGACACGGGGAGUUAGAAUGGGACCAAGGGGACACGGGGAGUUUUGACUGGGAUUAAG
rnacentral:lncRNA from 13 species